AGCAGGGGCGGGCCCCUUCUGGAAGGUUCUAAGAUAGGGUAUAAGAGGCAGGGUGGCGGGCGGAAACCGGUCUCAUUGAACUCGCCUGCAGCUCUUGGGCUUUUUGUGGCUUUCUUCGUUAUUGGAGCCAGGCCUACACGCCAGCAACCAUGUCCAAGGGACCUGCAGUUGGUAUUGAUCUUGGCACCACCUACUCUUGUGUGGGUGUUUUCCAGCACGGAAAAGUCGAGAUAAUUGCCAAUGAUCAGGGAAACCGAACCACUCCAAGCUAUGUCGCCUUUACGGACACUGAACGGUUGAUCGGUGAUGCCGCAAAGAAUCAAGUUGCAAUGAACCCCACCAACACAGUUUUUGAUGCCAAACGUCUGAUUGGACGCAGAUUUGAUGAUGCUGUUGUCCAGUCUGAUAUGAAACAUUGGCCGUUCAUGGUGGUGAAUGAUGCUGGCAGGCCCAAGGUCCAAGUAGAAUACAAGGGAGAGACCAAAAGCUUCUAUCCAGAGGAGGUGUCCUCUAUGGUUCUGACAAAAAUGAAGGAAAUUGCAGAAGCCUACCUUGGGAAGACUGUUACCAAUGCUGUGGUCACAGUGCCAGCUUACUUUAAUGACUCUCAGCGUCAGGCUACCAAAGAUGCUGGAACUAUUGCUGGUCUCAAUGUACUUAGAAUUAUUAAUGAGCCAACUGCUGCUGCUAUUGCUUACGGCUUAGACAAAAAGGUUGGAGCAGAAAGAAACGUGCUCAUCUUUGACCUGGGAGGUGGCACUUUUGAUGUGUCAAUCCUCACUAUUGAGGAUGGAAUCUUUGAGGUCAAGUCUACAGCUGGAGACACCCACUUGGGUGGAGAAGAUUUUGACAACCGAAUGGUCAACCAUUUUAUUGCUGAGUUUAAGCGCAAGCAUAAGAAGGACAUCAGUGAGAACAAGAGAGCUGUAAGACGCCUCCGUACAGCUUGUGAACGUGCUAAGCGUACCCUCUCUUCCAGCACCCAGGCCAGUAUUGAGAUCGAUUCUCUCUAUGAGGGAAUCGACUUCUAUACCUCCAUUACCCGUGCCCGAUUUGAAGAAUUGAAUGCUGACCUGUUCCGUGGCACCCUGGACCCAGUAGAGAAAGCCCUUCGAGAUGCCAAACUAGACAAGUCACAGAUUCAUGAUAUUGUCCUGGUUGGUGGUUCUACUCGUAUCCCCAAGAUUCAGAAGCUUCUCCAAGACUUCUUCAAUGGAAAAGAACUGAAUAAGAGCAUCAACCCUGAUGAAGCUGUUGCUUAUGGUGCAGGUAACAAUGGUAUCUCAAUUAACCCUAAAGGCAGGCAGGCCCAAGGUGACUCGCUGUGAUGAGUGAUUGUUAAACAUUCGUAGUUUCCACCAAAAGCUUGGCUAAUGAUGGCAACACCUUCCUUGGAUGUCUGAGCGAGUGAUAGUUAAAACAGGAGCUGUGUACUGGGUUUUCUUUUAACUUCUUUUAACGUUAACUUUUUGUUUGCUAGCUGUCCAGGCAGCCAUCUUGUCUGGAGAC
rnacentral:sRNA from 1 species